rnacentral:rRNA from 1 species
UACGAAGGGGGCGAGCGUUGUUCGGAAUCACUGGGCGUAAAGGGCGCGUAGGCGGCCCUCCUUGUCGCGUGUGAAAGCCCCGGGCUCAACCUGGGAACGGCGCGCGAGACGGGGGGGCUGGAGUUCGGGAGAGGAGCGUGGAAUUCCCAGUGUAGAGGUGAAAUUCGUAGAUAUUGGGAAGAACACCGGUGGCGAAAGCGGCGCACUGGACCACAACUGACGCUGAGGCGCGAAAGCUAGGGGAGCAAACAGG